UCGGCCCCGCAAGGGACUGACUUAGUGGCGAACGGGUGAGUAACGCGUGAGCAACCUGCCUUUCAGUGGGGGACAACAGUUGGAAACGACUGCUAAUACCGCAUAAUGCAUUUUGACCGCAUGAUCGGAAUACCAAAGAUUUAUUGCUGAAAGAUGGCCUCGCGUCUGAUUAGAUAGUUGGUGAGGUAACGGCCCACCAAGUCGACGAUCAGUAGCCGGACUGAGAGGUUGAACGGCCACAUUGGGACUGAGAUACGGCCCAGACUCC
rnacentral:rRNA from 1 species